CCAGCUCCAAUAGCGUAUAUUAAAGUUGUUGCAGUUAAAAAGCUCGUAGUCGAACUUUAGAUUUUUAAACUUGAUGGUCUUGAUUUUUUAAGAUCAAGUACUAUCUAAAGUUAAAUCUAUUAUUAUUGAAUACUUUUUAAAUUUUCCUUAAAAAAGAAGAUUUAAAAAAGUAUUCAAUCGUUUACCUUGAAAAAAUUAGAGUGUUCAAAGCAAGCUUCUUUUGUAAGCUUGAAUAGAUUAGCAUGGAAUAAUAAAAUAUGACUUUUGGUCUUAUUUUGUUGGUUUUAAAGACCUUAGUAAUGAUUAAAAGGAGCAGUUGGGGGCAUUUGUAUUGCUAUGUUAGAGGUGAAAUUCUUGGAUCAUAGCAAGACAAACUAAUGCGAAAGCAUCUGCCAAGGAUGCUUUCA
rnacentral:rRNA from 1 species